UGCAGGUUGCUUAACCCUUCUGGGUAUCGGUUUUCUCAUCUGUAAAAUGAGGCUAGAAGUCCUCACUGAGGAUUGAAGGAGAAAACACACAUUGAGCACACAGUCUGGCACAGAGAAAUUACUCCCAAAACGCUUGGCCACGUUAAGCAAAGGUUGGUCCAAAACAGAUGAUGAGUGGGGAGAAGACGCGGCAUGCUGAGAAAGGUGGUCUUGGACGUGAGGUCACGCGCCAUGCAAUCUGGUUACUGAGCAAGCCUGUUUCUGCCCCAUCCUGGGCGCCUGGGGAGUGAGAGCCACGCUGAGCCAAGCUGGGGGUCAGACUGCAGCUGGGAGAUCUGUGGAGUGUAGACAAAUUCUGUGACACACCGCUGAAGGGGUCUAAGCAUCUGGACCACAUCUCACUGAGAAAGAAUGUGUCCAUCUCAGAAUGUUGAUGCUUUCAGACACUGACUCCACAUUAAGCAGCUCUGCCCAUGCCUCACCACCCCCCCCAUUCAGAACAUAUCAGUAAUAAAAUAGUAUGACCAUUCCCCACU